rnacentral:tmRNA from 1 species
GGGGACGUUACGGAAUUCGACAGGGAUAGUUCGAAGCUUAGGUGAGUCGAGGGGAUCGGCCUCGUUAAAACGUCAAAGCCUAUAAUUGGCAAACAAAAAUUCUUUCUUUUACUGCUUUAAUUGCACUAAAGGUUCUCCCUCCAUCGUCCAUGUGGGUAGGGUAAGGGACUCAAACUAAGUGUGGACUACGCGGAGUUCGCCGUCUGAGGACAAAGGAAUUGAGAAUAACCAGACUAGCAAUUGGGAAGCCUGUCGAUAGCCGAAGAGUUCGCGAAUGCUAAUAUAUCGACUACACUCGUAGAGCUUAAGUGCCGAAUUUUUGGACGUGGGGUUCGACUCCACCGUCUCCACCA